rnacentral:rRNA from 1 species
CAGCCGCCGCGGGAAUACGAAGGGUGCAAGCGUUACUCGGAAUUACUGGGCGUAAAGCGCGCGUAGGCGGCUUUUUAAGUCAGAGGUGAAAGCCCGGGGCUCAACCCCGGAAUUGCCUUUGAAACUGGAAAGCUAGAAUCUUGGAGAGGUCAGUGGAAUUCCGAGUGUAGAGGUGAAAUUCGUAGAUAUUCGGAAGAACACCAGUGGCGAAGGCGACUGACUGGACAAGUAUUGACGCUGAGGUGCGAAAGCGUGGGGAGCAAACAGGAUUAGAUACCCCGGUAGUCCCUGUCUCUUAUAA